rnacentral:rRNA from 1 species
AGAGAAUAGAUACCCUGGUAGUCCCAGCUGUAAACGAUGCAGACUAGGUGUUUGGACGGCCACGUGCCGUUCUAGUGCCGCAGGGAAGCUGUUAAGUCUGCCGCCUGGGGAGUACGAUCGCAAGAUUGAAACUUAAAGGAAUUGGCGGGGGAGCACCACAAGGGGUGAAAGCUUGCGGUUUAAUUGGAGUCAACGCCGGAAAUUUCACCGGGAGCGACAGCAGUAUGAAAGCCAGAUUGAAGGUCUUGCUAGACGAGCUGAGAGGAGGUGCAUGGCCGUCGCCAGUUCGUGCCGUGAGGUGUCCUGUUAAGUCAGGCAACGAUCGAGACCCGCGUCCUCUGUUGCAACCAGCUUUGAGCUGGGCACACUGAGGAGACCGCCACUGAUAAAGUGGAGGAAGGAGCGGGCCACGGCAGGUCAGUAUGCCCCGAAUCUCCCGGGGCCACACGCGAGCUGCAAUGGCAAGUACAAUGGGUUCCGACCUCGAAAGGGGGAGGCAAUCUCGAAAGCUUGCCGUAGUUGGAAUU